rnacentral:rRNA from 1 species
UACGGAAUGUGCAAACGUUAUUCGGAAUCACUGGGCUUAAAGAGUCCGUAGGCGGCUUGUUAGGUGAGGUGUGAAAUCCCUCGGCCCAACCGAGGAAUUGCGCUUCAAACCGGCAAGCUUGAGGAGGAUAGAGGUGGGCGGAACUGAUGGUGGAGCGGUGAAAUGCGUUGAUAUCAUCAGGAACACCGGAGGCGAAAGCGGUCCACUGGGUCCUAUCUGACGCUGAGGGACGAAAGCUAGGGGAGCGAACGGG